GACGGAGGGGACAAGCGUUAUCCAUCAUGACUGGGCGUAAAGGGUUCGUAGGUUGAAAAAGAAAUUAAAGUGAAAUCCAUAGUGAAAACUUGUGAAAGGCUUUAAUAUUAACUUUUUCUUGAGUAUAGAAGAGGUUAGAGGAAUUUUAUAUGUAGAGUUAAAAUACUAACAUAUGAAAGAAUUCCAGUGGCAUAGGCGUCUUUCCAUACUAUACUGACACUGAGGGACGAAAGCAUGGGGAGCAAACAGGAUUAGAUACCCGGGUAGU
rnacentral:rRNA from 1 species